CUCUCCUCUCUCGGUCGCAUCUCUCUCUUUCUUCCCCGACCUCACUCUCUCUGCCAGCGCCGGAAACUCCAUUUCCGGGUACCCGCUCUUGUCACCACAACCACCAAUCGAUCCAGCAUCCAAAUCUGACCCAAGCCUGAACCUUAUCGUCGACAUGCAUCGCCGCCAGCCUCCGCGCGCGACAACCCAAGGCUGCGACGCCACUGUUGCUCGACCUUCAUCGAUUUCCAACCAUCACCUCGCCACAACGACGCCACCUCCUGACUCAGCAAGCAACGAGGAGCAAAACCAAGAAGUUUCGCCACCCACCCAAGCCGGAAAACGACGUACGAGUUUCGCCGGAACACGGGGCCUUGCAUGUCGUCGUUUUUCAAUUUCCAGCCAUGCCUGGGCUACCCGACCACCAUGGAUGUAGUAAGCGCCUAAAUGUCUAGAAUAGCCCCUUACCUAGACCUCUGAUUUCGACCGGAGCCACCCAGCACCGCUGUGAGAGCCACCGGCUUACCUUUUUCGUCUGGUAAGCUAUAUUUCGUCCUCUCCCUUUGGAUAAUGCCAUUAGUCCUUGUGAAUCGAAAAGCCUAAUUCACUGCUCUCGGAUUUGGAAUGUGAGGUUUGUGGAAUCUGGAAAAUUGAAGCUUUGGAGAAGAAAUGAGCUACUGGGUCAGUUUCGAAUCGAAUUAAGGAAUUCAGAUGGUUAAUGGAUGUGGAUUUCUGCGUUUUUGGAGUUUUGGAAGAGAGGAGCUGCUGGGCCAGUUAAGUUGAUGUUGAGGAAUUGGAUCUGAAAGGUUGUUGGUGGUGGAACUGCAACUACGACGAAACUGGUUUCUGUUUUGGAAAAGAAGAAUGGACCCGAGCGUGUGCACUUGGAUUUGGAUAAAGGAUCGAAAGUCGGGAAUGAACCCAAAUGUAGACGAGCACUCUAAUUCCAGGUAGGGUGAGCUGUCCCUUCCUUGUUAGAGGCUUUUCUAUAUGUGGAAUGCUCUAGUAUAUUAAUAUGUUGCCUGCAAGUACGUUUUUGGUUGUUCAUUGGUCGAUGCCUCAUGAUAUCCGUGUUUCCAUAACUGAAAAUUGCUUAUUGUGAAAACCGAGGCUAGACUUGCAUGUUGAGAUACUAUACCCUUUGUAUGUUUGUACUUGUGACCUGAAAGUGAAUGGGACCUAGACGCGUAGAUUCCUAGGGAUCCCACGAUGUCGAUAACCGUGAACCUCCGGAGGGGGCCGUGCUCCUAUGUUUGUCGAGGAAGAGUGAGUACAGACAGUGAACCAAUCAUAGGAGACUCAGGGCCAGGAAAUGGACACUUUCGCUACUUGUAGUUACAAGGACUACAGAGUAGUUGGCCGGUUCUCGAAGGAUGACGAACCAGGUCGGUCACCGAUUUGUUUGAGUUUAGCAGGCAGGUAAGUAUCUCGGAGCUCCAAAUUGUGUGAAGCAUACUGCAUAUGCUUUAUAAAAGAAAUAAAUGUUUGUGGUUGCCUCUUUUUAAAGUAUUUUUGAUAAACGUGCACAAUAUUAUGUAGUAUUUUCGAUUAUUAUUACUAUCUUUCAAACCUAGCAUGGUUGGGUCGGCCCCUACUGGGCAUGCG